GACGAACGCUGGCGGCGUGCCUAACACAUGCAAGUCGAACGGGGUGAUCUGCUUCGGUGGAUCACUUAGUGGCGAACGGGUGAGUAACGCGUGAGGAACCUGCCUUUCAGUGGGGGACAACGGUUGGAAACGACUGCUAAUACCGCAUAAUGCAGCUAGACCGCAUGGUCUUACUGCCAAAGCUUUAUGUGCUGAAAGAUGGCCUCGCGUCUGAUUAGCUAGUUGGAGGGGUAACGGCCCACCAAGGCGACGAUCAGUAGCCGGUCUGAGAGGAUGAACGGCCACAUUGGGACUGAGAUACGGCCCAGACUCCUACGGGAGGCAGCAGUGGGGAAUAUUGGGCAAUGGGGGAAACCCUGACCCAGCAACGCCGCGUGAAGGAAGAAGGCCUCGGUUGUAACUCUUUUAGUAGGGUACGAAGAACGUGACGGUACCUA
rnacentral:rRNA from 1 species